rnacentral:tRNA from 1 species
AGCUCUCUGGCCAGGCAUUAUGUCGAGAAUGCUUGGAUAAUGAGAAGGUCGUCGGUUCGAUUCCGACAGGCGGCUCCA